GACGAACGCUGGCGGCGUGCUUAACACAUGCAAGUCGAACGGAAAGGCCCUGCUUUUGUGGGGUGCUCGAGUGGCGAACGGGUGAGUAACACGUGAGUAACCUGCCCUUGACUUUGGGAUAACUUCAGGAAACUGGGGCUAAUACCGGAUAGGAGCUCCUGCUGCAUGGUGGGGGUUGGAAAGUUUCGGCGGUUGGGGAUGGACUCGCGGCUUAUCAGCUUGUUGGUGGGGUAGUGGCUUACCAAGGCUUUGACGGGUAGCCGGCGUGGGAGGGUGACCGGGCACAUUGGGACUGAGAUACGGCCCAGACUCCUACGGGAGGCAGCGGUGGGGAAUAUUGCACAAUGGGCGGAAGCCUGAGGCAGCAACGCCGCGUGCGGGAUGACGGCCUUCGGGUUGUAAACCGCUUUCGCCUGUGACGAAGCGUGAGUGACGGUAAUGGGUAAAGAAGCACCGGCUAACUACGUG
rnacentral:rRNA from 1 species